rnacentral:tRNA from 1 species
GGGGCAUUAGCUCAGUUGGCUAGAGCGCCACACUGGCAGUGUGGAGGCCAAGGGUUCAAAUCCCUUAUGCUCCACCA